GUCGAGCGGACAGAUGGGAGCUUGCUCCCUGAUGUUAGCGGCGGACGGGUGAGUAACACGUGGGUAACCUGCCUGUAAGACUGGGAUAACUCCGGGAAACCGGGGCUAAUACCGGAUGGUUGUUUGAACCGCAUGGUUCAGACAUAAAAGGUGGCUUCGGCUACCACUUACAGAUGGACCCGCGGCGCAUUAGCUAGUUGGUGAGGUAACGGCUCACCAAGGCAACGAUGCGUAGCCGACCUGAGAGGGUGAUCGGCCACACUGGGACUGAGACACGGCCCAGACUCCUACGGGAGGCAGCAGUAGGGAAUCUUCCGCAAUGGACGAAAGUCUGACGGAGCAACGCCGCGUGAGUGAUGAAGGUUUUCGGAUCGUAAAGCUCUGUUGUUAGGGAAGAACAAGUGCCGUUCAAAUAGGGCGGCACCUUGACGGUACCUAACCAGAAAGCCACGGCUAACUACGUGCCAGCAGCCGCGGUAAUACGUAGGUGGCAAGCGUUGUCCGGAAUUAUUGGGCGUAAAGGGCUCGCAGGCGGUUUCUUAAGUCUGAUGUGAAAGCCCCCGGCUCAACCGGGGAGGGUCAUUGGAAACUGGGGAACUUGAGUGCAGAAGAGGAGAGUGGAAUUCCACGUGUAGCGGUGAAAUGCGUAGAGAUGUGGAGGAACACCAGUGGCGAAGGCGACUCUCUGGUCUGUAACUGACGCUGAGGAGCGAAAGCGUGGGGGAGCGAACAGGAUUAGAUACCCUGGUAGUCCACGCCGUAAACGAUGAGUGCUAAGUGUUAGGGGGUUUCCGCCCCUUAGUGCUGCAGCUAACGCAUUAAGCACUCCGCCUGGGGAGUACGGUCGCAAGACUGAAACUCAAAGGAAUUGACGGGGGCCCGCAC
rnacentral:rRNA from 1 species